rnacentral:rRNA from 1 species
AUUGAACGCUGGCGGCAGGCCUAACACAUGCAAGUCGAACGAGUGGCGGACGGGUGAGUAAUGUCUGGGAAACUGCCUGAUGGAGGGGGAUAACUACUGGAAACGGUAGCUAAUACCGCAUACCAUCGGAUGUGCCCAGAUGGGAUUAGCUAGUAGGUGGGGUAACGGCUCACCUAGGCGAAGAUCCCUAGCUGGUCUGAGAGGAUGACCAGCCACACUGGAACUGAGACACGGUUCAGAAUACUACGGGAGGCAGCAGUGGGGAAUAUUGCACAAUGGGCGCAAGCCUGAUUCAGCCAUGCCGGGUGGAUUAAGAAGGCCUUCGGGUUGGAAAGGACUUUCAGCGGGGAGGCGUUACCCGCAGAAGAAGCCCCGGCUAACUCCGUGCCAGCAGCCGCGGUAAUAC